UGGGGAAUAUUGGUCAAUGGGGGAAACCCUGAACCAGCAACGCCGCGUGAAGGAAGAAGGCUUUCGGGUUGUAAACUUCUUUGACAGGGGACGAAAAAAAUGACGGUACCCUGAAAACAAGCUACGGCUAACUACGUGCCAGCAGCCGCGGUAAUACGUAGGUGGCAAGCGUUGUCCGGAUUUACUGGGUGUAAAGGGCGCGUAGGCGGGACUGCAAGUCAGAUGUGAAAUCUCCGGGCUUAACCCGGAGCGUGCAUUUGAAACUGCGGUUCUUGAGUGAUGGAGAGGCAGGCGGAAUUCCUAGUGUAGCGGUGAAAUGCGUAGAUAUUAGGAGGAACACCAGUGGCGAAGGCGGCCUGCUGGACAUUAACUGACGCUGAGGCGCGAAAGCGUGGGGAGCAAACA
rnacentral:rRNA from 1 species